rnacentral:rRNA from 1 species
GACGAACGCUGGCGGCGUGCUUAACACAUGCAAGUCGAACGGAAAGGCCCUGCUUUUGUGGGGUGCUCGAGUGGCGAACGGGUGAGUAACACGUGAGUAACCUGCCCUUGACUUUGGGAUAACUUCGGGAAACUGGGGCUAAUACCGGAUAGGAGCUCCUGCUGCAUGGUGGGGGUUGGAAAGUUUCGGCGGUUGGGGAUGGACUCGCGGCUUAUCAGCUUGUUGGUGGGGUAGUGGCUUACCAAGGCUUUGACGGGUAGCCGGCCUGAGAGGUGACCGGCCACAUUGGGACUGAGAUACGGCCCAGACUCCUACGGGAGGCAGCAGUGGGGAAUAUUGCACAAUGGGCGGAAGCCUGAUGCAGCAACGCCGCGUGCGGGAUGACGGCCUUCGGGUUGUAAACCGCUUUCGCCUGUGACGAAGCGUGAGUGACGGUAAUGGGUAAAGAAGCACCGGCUAACUACGUG